rnacentral:rRNA from 1 species
GAUGAAGAACGUAGCAAAAUGCGAUACUUGGUCUGAAUUGUAGAAUCACGUGAAUCAUUGAGUCUUUGAACACAAGUUGUUCCCGUGGCCAUAGGAUGAGGUCACAUUUGACUGGGCGUGA